UUGUGUAUGAGUACAUGAAAUGGGGAAGUCUAGAGUCUGUUCUUCAUGACAGGUCUAAAGGAGUGUGCUUAAGGCUUGAUUGGGCAGCAAGAAAGAAGAUUGCCGUGGGUUCAGCGAGAGGUCUUGCAUUCCUUCACCACAGCUGCAUACCACACAUUAUCCACCGUGAUAUGAAGUCUAGCAAUGUUCUUCUAGAUGAAAACUUUGAGNNNNNNNNNUUUGGCAUGGCCAGAUUGGUGAAUGCUCUCGACACGCAUCUUAGCGUUAGCACACUUGCAGGAACUCCC
rnacentral:misc_RNA from 1 species